rnacentral:rRNA from 1 species
AUUGAACGCUGGCGGCAGGCUUAACACAUGCAAGUCGAGCGGAGAGAGGUAGCUUGCUACUGAUCUUAGCGGCGGACGGGUGAGUAAUGCUUAGGAAUCUGCCUAUUAGUGGGGGACAACAUUUCGAAAGGAAUGCUAAUACCACAUACGUCCUACGGGAGAAAGCAGGGGAUCUUCGGACCUUGCGCUAAUAGAUGAGCCUAAGUCGGAUUAGCUAGUUGGUGGGGUAAAGGCCUACCAAGGCGACGAUCUGUAGCGGGUCUGAGAGGAUGAUCCGCCACACUGGGACUGAGACACGGCCCAGACUCCUACGGGAGGCAGCAGUGGGGAAUAUUGGACAAUGGGCGCAAGCCUGAUCCAGCCAUGCCGCGUGUGUGAAGAAGGCCUUAUGGUUGUAAAGCACUUUAAGCGAGGAGGAGGCUACUUUAGUUAAUACCUAGAGAUAGUGGACGUUACUCGCAGAAUAAGCACCGGCUAACUCUGUGCCAGCAGCCGCGGUAAUACAGAGGGUGCAAGCGUUAAUCGGAUUUACUGGGCGUAAAGCGCGCGUAGGCGGCUAAUUAAGUCAAAUGUGAAAUCCCCGAGCUUAACUUGGGAAUUGCAUUCGAUACUGGUUAGCUAGAGUGUGGGAGAGGAUGGUAGAAUUCCAGGUGCAGCGGUGAAAUGCGUAGAGAUCUGGAGGAAUACCGAUGGCGAAGGCAGCCAUCUGGCCUAACACUGACGCUGAGGUGCGAAAGCAUGGGGAGCAAACAGGAUUAGAUACCCUGGUAGUCCAUGCCGUAAACGAUGUCUACUAGCCGUUGGGGCCUUUGAGGCUUUAGUGGCGCAGCUAACGCGAUAAGUAGACCGCCUGGGGAGUACGGUCGCAAGACUAAAACUCAAAUGAAUUGACGGGGGCCCGCACAAGCGGUGGAGCAUGUGGUUUAAUUCGAUGCAACGCGAAGAACCUUACCUGGCCUUGACAUAGUAAGAACUUUCCAGAGAUGGAUUGGUGCCUUCGGGAACUUACAUACAGGUGCUGCAUGGCUGUCGUCAGCUCGUGUCGUGAGAUGUUGGGUUAAAUCCCGCAACGAGCGCAACCCUUUUCCUUAUUUGCCAGCGAGUAAUGUCGGGAACUUUAAGGAUACUGCCAGUGACAAACUGGAGGAAGGCGGGGACGACGUCAAGUCAUCAUGGCCCUUACGGCCAGGGCUACACACGUGCUACAAUGGUCGGUACAAAGGGUUGCUACCUAGCGAUAGGAUGCUAAUCUCAAAAAGCCGAUCGUAGUCCGGAUUGGAGUCUGCAACUCGACUCCAUGAAGUCGGAAUCGCUAGUAAUCGCGGAUCAGAAUGCCGCGGUGAAUAAGGUCCCGGGCCU